rnacentral:sRNA from 1 species
AAGAUCGGUCCGGAGUUGGUGGGUUAUCUUUCAAAUCACCCCAUCAGCAACAACUUGACCGGUUU